rnacentral:misc_RNA from 1 species
GUGAAUCAUCAAAUCUUUGAACGCAAAUUGCGCUUCCUGGCAUCCCGGGAAGUAUGCCUGUUUGAGGGUCAGUAUUAAUAAAAAAUCGGUUUGGUUACAAAUUGUGACGUUUUCAGAGUUUGGGCUAUUUUCACAUUUUUGGUUAAGGGGCUUAAAAUUGACCUUUUUUGCGCAUUUUUAGACGUACAUAAAUUUUUUUUUUUUCGUUUAUUCAUUCUUAAUGCCAAAAUCUUAUUAGAUG